rnacentral:rRNA from 1 species
AUACGGAGGGUGCGAGCGUUAUUCGGAUUUACUGGGCGUAAAGCGCGUGCAGGCGGGUGGAAAAGUCUGAUGUGAAAGCCCCGGGCUCAACCUGGGAAGUGCAUUGGAAACUGUUCAUCUUGAGUGAUGGAGAGGAAGGGGGAAUUCCCGGUGUAGAGGUGAAAUUCGUAGAGAUCGGGAGGAGUACCAGUGGCGAAGGCGCCCUUCUGGACGGCAACUGACGCUGAGACGCGAAAGCGUGGGGAGC